GUGAGGCAUUUGCGAGCUUUUUUGCGGAGAAGGUCCUGUUGCUCCGCCAUGACCUCCCUGCCAAUUUGGAUACAAUAAAGGAACUGGAGGCCCCUCGACUGUCCUUGGGUCCAGUAUUGGACCAUUUUGACCGGAUAUCCCUAGCCGAUGUGGACAGACUCUUCCGAGCUGGAAAGCCCACCACCUGUCCUCUUGACCCGUGCCCGUCUUGGCUGAUUAGAGCGUGUCCAGACGAGGUGCGGGCCCCCCUGGGUGAUAUCAAUUUGUCCCUUGGCACCGGGAUAUUCCCAGGGGAACUGAAGGAGGCAGUGGUGCGCCCGCUCUUAAAGAAAACGUCAUUAGAUCCCUUAGAUCUAUCUAAUUACCGCUCGGUUUCGAAUCUUCCGUUCCUGGGUAAGGUGAUUGAGAGAGCGGUUGCUGAACAGCUUGGUAGGUUUCUGGAUGAAACAUCGGCUCUGGAUCCAUUCCAGUCCGGCUUCCGCGCUGGUCAUGGGACCGAGACGGCUCUGGUCGCCCUAACAGAUCUCCGCAGGCAGCUGGAUCGAGGUGGGUUGGGGCUGCUGAUUCUUCUAGACCUGUCAGCAGCCUUCAACAUGGUCGAUCACGAACUCCUGGACCACCGCCUUGCCGACGUGGGGAUCCAGGGCACAGUCCUUCAAUGGCUGCGCUCGUUUCUCUCUGGUCGGGGACAGAGGGUGGCGCUUGGGGGGGAAUUGUCAUCGCACCACUCCUUGGUGUGUGGAGUGCCUCAGGGUGCGAUUCUCUCCCCGAUGCUUUUUAACAUCUUUAUGCGCCCCCUCGCCCAGCUUGUCUGGAGUUUGGGGCUCGGUUGCCAUCAGUAUGCUGAUGACACCCAACUCUAUCUGUUGAUGGAUGGCCAUCCUGACUCGGCCCCAGACACACUGACCAGAUGUCUGGAAGCUGUGGCUGGAUGGUUACGUGGGAGCCGGUUGAAGUUAAAUCCUUCGAAGACAGAGGUCCUCUGGCUGGGACAGGGCGAUAUGGGAUUGAGGGGGCAACUCCCAUCUCUUGCGGGGGGUGCAAUUAGUGCCAGCACCGUCCGUUAAGAGUUUGGGUGUAAUCUUCGAUACCUCCCUCUCUAUGGAGGCGCAGAUUACAGCUAUAACAAAGGCGGCAUUUUUUCAUCUCCGCCAAGCUAAGCAGUUGGCUCCUUAUCUCUCGCCCUGAGCUAGCCACUGUGAUCCACGCGAUGGUCACCUCCAGACUGGAUUAUUGUAACUCGCUCUACGUGGGGCUGCCCUUGAGACUGACCCAGAAACUCCAGCGGGUGCAGAAUGCCGCGGCGAGACUCCUUAUAGGGUCUUCGCUGCGAGAUCACGUUCAUCCGGUACUAUACCAGCUGCACUAGCUCCCGGUGGAGUACAGGAUCAGGUUUAAGGUGCUGGUUUUAACCUUUAAAGCCCUAUACGGCCUAGGACCCUCGUACCUACGGGACCGCCUCUCCUGGUAUGUCCCACAGAAGAACUUACGGUCUGCAAAUAAAAACAUCCUGAAGAUCCCAGGCCACAGAGAGGUUAGGCUGGCCUCAACUAGAGCCAGGGCUUUCUCGGCCGCGGCUCCAAUCUGGUGGAACGCUCUGUCACAAGAGACUAGGGCCCUGCGGGACCUGACAUCUUUCCGCAGGGCCUGUAAGACAGAGCUGUUCCACCAGGCCUUUGGUCAGGGCGCAGCCUGAGCCCCUCUGGCAAUCUGCACAGAAUUUUGCUUAAGGGUUGCCAUAAAUUUGAUUUUAAUUAAUUUUUAUAAUGAAAGGUUUUUAGAAUGCUGGAUUAUUUUGAUUGUUGUUAGCCGCCCUGAUCCCAGCUUCGGCUGGGGAGGGCGGGGUAUAAAUAAAAUUUAUUAUUAUUAUU